UACAUGUGGGGCAAGCGUUGUUCGGAAUUACUGGGCAUAAAGGGUGCGUAGGCGGCUUUGCAAGUCGGGUGUGAAAUCCCCAGGCUUAACCUGGGAACUGCAUUCGAGACUGCAUUGCUAGAGUAUGGGAGAGGGAAGUGGAAUUUCCGGUGUAGCGGUGAAAUGCGUAGAUAUCGGAAGGAACAUCAGUGGCGAAAGCGACUUCCUGGACCAAUACUGACGCUCAUGUGCGAAAGCGUGGGGAGCAAACAGG
rnacentral:rRNA from 1 species